UCACUUUCACUUUAUAUCCAUUAGGAAGAGUAACAAGAUAGGGUACAGUUAAAGGUGUGAGAUUAAAGAGUAAAUCCUUAUUAGAGGUCAUAUGGUUAGAUGCCCCUGAAUCUAUUACCCAGGUAGCACAAUCAAUGUGAUUUAACAUGCAAAAUUUGGAAUCAAAAACAGGGCUCUCAGUUAGCAUAGUACCAGCAAAAUUGGCAGCAUACAUGGGAGGAGGAGACUGGGCAGUGGAGUCCCCUAACUGAGUUUGUUGGAGCAGGGUCAUCAAUUGUUCAUAAUGUUGUCUGCUCAACCCAGGUAUCACAGAACUCUGGCCAUCAAUGUGUGGAACAGGUCGAUGACUUUCAGGAGGAUUUCCAUGAGGAACAGACAUAUUUCUUUUAGAAGAAGAGAAAUCCACACCAGCAGCUAGAUGAGCAGCAGCAGGUCUCCUCCCCUUGUUAAAUGUUGUACUUUGUGGAUACCCAUGAAUCUUGAAACACUUAUCAAUUAAGUGCCCAGAUUUUUCAAUUGUUCAUAAUGUUGUCUGCUCAACCCAGGUAUCACAGAACUCUGGCCAUCAAUGUGUGGAACAGGUCGAUGACUUUCAGGAGGAUUUCCAUGAGGAACAGACAUAUUUCUUUUAGAAGAAGAGAAAUCCACACCAGCAGCUAGAUGAGCAGCAGCAGGUCUCCUCCCCUUGUUAAAUGUUGUACUUUGUGGAUACCCAUGAAUAUUGUAACACUUAUCAAUUAAGUGCCCAUAUUUCUUACAGUAUCUACAGAAUAAAGAGUCCCUAGCUUGGUCAAAGUUAACUCUUUUUCUGAAAUGAGAAGAAUUAGGCAUUGUGGCCUUAUUGAAACCAGUUGAAUUUUUGUUUGUGUGGGCAUUGAAAGACAUAGAGUCUUGAUUAAACUGAGAAAGGGACUGGACUUGUCUCUGCUUCUCAUCAUUGAGGACCAUAUUGUAGACACUGGCAAGGGUAGGAGGAGGCUGCAUCAUCAAUAGGUUACUCAUUACCCCCAUGUAUGCUUCAUUAAGGCCCAUAAGGAACUGAAACAUCUUAUUCUCAUCAUCUUCCUGUAUGAUGCCAUUUCUGGCAGGACAAAUGCAUCUUUGUCCAUGGUUUGCACACAUUAUUCCUAAUUCACCCCAUAGAACUAUAAGUUUGUUAAAAUAUGAAGCUACAUCUAGAGAUCCUUAACAUGUAUGAGAGAGUUCUCUUUUUAGUUCAAAAAUUUUGGUUAUGUUAGCAAUACCAUAUCUAGCUGCGAGUUGUGCCCAUAUGCUCUGUGCACUAUCAGAAUACUGAACACUCUCAGCUAUUUGAGGGGAUAAGGAAGCAAUCAACCAGGAUAUCACCAUAUUAUUACAUCUGUCCCAUAACUUUUGUUCAGCCACUUUAGUGUCUGGUCUGGGACAUGUACCAUCAACAAAGCCAAUUUUAUUUUUAGCAGACAACGCUACAAUCAUUUUCCUUCUCCAACCCCCAUAAUCACUACCCGAGAAGGGAGUGGACACAAGAAAACACCAGGAACAUCAGAGGAGUAAACAAAUAAGGGACGGGUAGGGUCAACAGUAGUCGUAUUAGUACUCAUGUUAGCAGUCGUGAAGAACAAUGAGUUCAAAGUCAAAAUAUAAUCUCUACAAGUAUGUUGAAAAACUAAAGUUGUAUCAAAAACUUCAUGCAAAUCAUAUAACACCUAAAAUAGGAACAGAUUUACCUUCCUUCUU
rnacentral:lncRNA from 1 species